GAGGUGGAGCAAAUCUCCAAAAAAACGUCUCAGUUCGGAUUGUAGGCUGCAACCCGCCUGCAUGAAGUCGGAAUUGCUAGUAAUGGCAGGUCAGCAUACUGCCGUGAAUACGUUCCCGGGCCUUGUACACACCGCCCGUCACACCAUGAGAGUUGGGGAUACCCGAAGCCUGUGAGCCAACUGUAAAGAGGCAGCAGUCGAAGGUAGAAUCAAUGAUUGGGGUGAAGUCGUAACAAGGUAAC
rnacentral:rRNA from 1 species